GUCAGGCAGAGUCUUUUCUCCUCGCGGGUCUUCCGUCUUUUUACGAUGGGGCCCGGGUGUGCGGUCCGGCCUCGCCUUUCGGCCUACGGCUGAUGCUCCGUGGCUUGUCCCGGAAAGGAGGGCGUGAGUCGUGUGAGGAGCUUCUCGGCGGCGUCGGCCUCCGCAGCAUGGCUUGAGCCGGGUGAAGUUUCCCCACCUUGAGUUGGGGGCGCGAGUGCCCCGCGGACGGCGGAAGGGACUCGGUUGCUGGACUUCGGAGCCACUCGGCUGACGGCACCCGUGGGUCUUGUCUUUCUUGUGGUACAAUGUUGCAGCUGUUCCAGACCCAAGAACCAGGAACCCAUGGAUUUUUUUUAUGUGGACCAGUGAUCAAAUCAGAGGUGGCAUGCACUUGAAGUUCUUUUGUGGGUUUUACGCUUUUUUUUCAUUCUUGAAUCCUUAUUUAUUCUUGAAGUAAUAAAAAAAUUUUAAUAAGA